AGCGGGAUAGUGUAAUGGUAAACAUAUUUAGCUCAUGCCUAAAUGAAUAAGGUUCGAAUCCUUUGUCCGCGU